CAGGCCUAACACAUGCAAGUCGAGCGGUAACAGGAAAGAAGCUUGCUUCUUUGCUACGAGCGGCGGACGGGUGAGUAAUGCCUGGGAACAUGCCUUAGUGUGGGGGAUAACUAUUGGAAACGAUAGCUAAUGCCGCAUAGCGUUACGGACCAAAGAGAGGGAUCGUCGGACCUCUCGCGCUAAGAUUGGCCCAGGUGGGUAUUAGCUAGUAGGUGGGGUAAUGGCUCACCUAGGCGACGAUCCCUAGCUGGUCUGAGAGGAUGAUCAGCCACCCUGGAACUGAGUACACGGUCCAGACUCCUACGGGAGGCAGCAGUGGGGAAUAUUGCACAAUGGGGGAAACCCUGAUGCAGCCAUGCCGCGUGUGUGAAGAAGGCCUUCGGGUUGUAAAGCACUUUCAGUUGUGAGGAAGGUUCUGCGUUAAUAGCGUAUGGAUUUGUACUGUUAGCAACAGAAGAAGCGCCGGCUAACUCCGUGCCAGCAGCCGCGGUAAUAGCGGAGGGUGCGAGCGUUAAUCGGA
rnacentral:rRNA from 1 species